AGAUUAAGUUUAUUUAGUCUAUUAUAUUAAAUAUAAAAUGUAUUGCAGCCAUCAAGGGUAUACACAACAACAUUCCAAUAGUGUCUAAGCUGAUUUCUCUACUUAAAGACAUUUGUCCCUACCUUUGCAUUUUACAAAUAAUUCAGUAACAACCCCUGGAUGUUGGGUUAAGGUAACAUCCCCAGGAUGUACUUGAAAACCAGAGUAAUCUUAAUAUACAUUUCCUGGUUAAAU